rfam:Erinaceus europaeus unplaced genomic scaffold scaffold00269, whole genome shotgun sequence
AUAUAUACAGUAUAUAUAGAAAAGAUAUAUACAGUAUAUAUAGAAAAGAUUCGCAUGACCUGUGCACAAAGAUAACAUGCAAAUUCAUGAGAAUUUCCAUAUUUUU